rnacentral:lncRNA from 1 species
CGCCCGCACUUAUUUUUUUCAAAACAGGAUUUUUUUUUAUAUUCCCCCUUCCCGCAUCUGGAAAUGUAAUCAUGUCCAUUUCCCGCAUCAUUUUUUGUAAAUAUUAUAAAAAGAUAUUAACACUUGUUUUCAAAUCACUGUCUUACCUGUAUUUAUUGUUUAAAACCUAUAUAAAGCACCCGACCACACUGUAUAAAUAUCU